AUUGAACGCUGGCGGCAUGCCUAACACAUGCAAGUCGAGCGGUAACAUUUCUAGCUUGCUAGAAGAUGACGAGCGGCGGACGGGUGAGUAACGCGUAGAAAUCUACCUAGUAGUGGGGGAUAGCCCAGAGAAAUUUGGAUUAAUACCGCAUACGCCCUACGGGGGAAAGCGGGGGAUCUUCGGACCUCGUGCUAUUAGAUGAGUCUGCGUCGGAUUAGCUUGUUGGUGAGGUAAUGGCUCACCAAGGCGACGAUCCGUAGCUGGUCUGAGAGGAUGACCAGCCACACUGGAACUGAGACACGGGUCCAGACUCCUACGGGAGGCAGCAGUGGGGAAUAUUGCACAAUGGGCGCAAGCCUGAUCCAGCCAUGCCGCGUGGGUGAAGAAGGCCCUAGGGUUGUAAAUCCCUUUCAGCGGGGAAGAUAAUGACGGUACCCGCAGAAGAAGCCCCGGCUAACUCCGUG
rnacentral:rRNA from 1 species